UCCUGGUUUCCCAGGCAGUCCCAUCAGAGUGCUCUCAUAAAGAGAUUGCAACUGACGGCAAGGGUUGCGCUCGUUAUAGGACUUAACCCAACAUCUCACGACACGAGCUGACGACAGCCAUGCAGCACCUGUGUAUAUGUCCAGAGUUACCCCUGGAAGACCCUAUCUCUAGGGGUGUCAUAUACAUGUCAAACCUAGGUAAGGUUCCUCGCGUAGUGUCGAAUUAAACCACAUGUUCCACCGCUUGUGCGGACCCCCGUCAAUUCCUUUGAGUUUUAAUCUUGCGACCGUACUCCCCAGGCGGAUCACUUAACGCGUUAGCUACGACACUAAUCCUGCAAAGCAGGACUAACGUCUAGUGAUCAUCGUUUACAGCGUGGACUAC
rnacentral:misc_RNA from 1 species